GCAAGGAUGAGGCGGCGAUGUCAGGCCUUAGGUGGCACUCCUACUAACAUGGCGAAGGGAGCGGCGGCGCUGAAGACUUUUUGGUGGCUAGUGUUUCUAAAUUUUUUUAAUAUUUUGGGCUUUAAGGCUUAGGGUUUUUUUUGGGGCUUGUAGGGUUUUUAGGUUGUUUUUUUGUAUUUGGGCUUGUAUUUUUAAAUGGACUCUUUUUUGGAAUUUUAUUAAUUUUCUAGUUUAUUAUAUUUUUUUUUUGUUUUGGGCCGGACGAAUUUGACCUAUUACAUUAGUAAUGCAAAACGUUGUUGUUAUUGGGUGUAUCCCAUAUUGCUUACUAUGUGUAUAUCUUUUUUUAUAAUAAUUUCAUCAUUUUUCAGAAAAUCGUAUCUUUAACAGUUUUAUUUUUUCCAAUUAUACUGUUUCGAAAAAUUUGGAACUGAUAUUUUUUUUGACAGUUAGGCACAAAAAUAAU
rnacentral:lncRNA from 1 species